GACGAACGCUGGCGGCGUGCCUAAUACAUGCAAGUAGAACGCUGAAGCUUGGUGCUUGCACCGAGCGGAUGAGUUGCGAACGGGUGAGUAACGCGUAGGUAACCUGCCUCUUAGCGGGGGAUAACUAUUGGAAACGAUAGCUAAUACCGCAUAAAAGUCGACAUCGCAUGAUGUUGACUUGAAAGGUGCAAUUGCAUCACUAAGAGAUGGACCUGCGUUGUAUUAGCUAGUUGGUGAGGUAACGGCUCACCAAGGCGACGAUACAUAGCCGACCUGAGAGGGUGAUCGGCCACACUGGGACUGAGACACGGCCCAGACUCCUACGGGAGGCAGCAGUAGGGAAUCUUCGGCAAUGGGGGCAACCCUGACCGAGCAACGCCGCGUGAGUGAAGAAGGUUUUCGGAUCGUAAAGCUCUGUUGUAAGAGAAGAACGAGUGUGAGAGUGGAAAGUUCACGCUGUGACG
rnacentral:rRNA from 1 species